AUUCAUUUACUUAUAUGAUUACCUUGAAUGUGAUUUGGAAUGACUUCCUAAAUCUCAUUCAUACUCUGGCCUGAGAUUCUUAAUCAUAUCAUAUAGUAUUCUCCUUCAAACGGUUUGAAGGUUAGAGAUCCCUUGUUGCGCAUUCACUUACCUCCAUGGCUAAGUGGCUUAACCCCAACUAUGCCGUGGACACCCGCGAAUGAAGUGACUUUGACAUAAUCAAAGAUCAAGGACCUAACCACAAGACAACUAUGAUGCCUCAGGUCAAAGGACUACUGUGCAUUAUCCCAACCAUGAGUUCUCAUGUGACAUGAGUAUGAGAACUCCUCGUUGAUUGUGUUCAGUGGACUCAUUCGCUAUUGAGCACCUACAUGCUUGUCUUGGUGUCAAUUACACCAAUGACUCGAGACUAGUCACUCUCCCUAAGAGAAGACAUAGCAUGUACUGAUCUUAACGGAUUGUCAAUGCCCAAUUGGCAAUCCUAUAUUCAGGAACGUUUAGGAUAUGUAUACGAAAGAGAAUGGUCUCAUUAAUCUAACUUGUUUAAAUUACAUUCUCCUA
rnacentral:lncRNA from 1 species